rnacentral:tRNA from 1 species
ACGGCUGUGAUCUAGUGGCUAUGAUUCGAGCUUCCCAAGCUUGCUACCCGGGUUCGAAUUGUGGAAGCGGGUAAAUGGCAAGCGAGUCUCUAGCGAGCCUCGCAUGUCACUGCUUACGCAACGCAAGUCCCGGCAGCCGUA